rnacentral:rRNA from 1 species
GAUGAACGCUGGCGGCGUGCCUAAUACAUGCAAGUCGAGCGAACAGACGAGGAGCUUGCUCCUCUGACGUUAGCGGCGGACGGGUGAGUAACACGUGGAUAACCUACCUAUAAGACUGGGAUAACUUCGGGAAACCGGAGCUAAUACCGGAUAAUAUAUUGAACCGCAUGGUUCAAUAGUGAAAGACGGUUUUGCUGUCACUUAUAGAUGGAUCCGCGCCGCAUUAGCUAGUUGGUAAGGUAACGGCUUACCAAGGCGACGAUGCGUAGCCGACCUGAGAGGGUGAUCGGCCACACUGGAACUGAGACACGGUCCAGACUACUACGGGAGGCAGCAGUAGGGAAUGUUCCGCAAUGGGCGAAAGCCUGACGGAGCAACGCCGCGUGAGUGAUGAAGGUCUUCGGAUCGUAAAACUCUGUUAUUAGGGAAGAACAAAUGUGUAAGUAACUAUGCACGUCUUGACGGUACCUAAUCAGAAAGCCACGGCUAACUACGUG